UCUUUGUGUGCAGUAAAGAAAGGCUCUGUUCUCUUAACAAGGAUGGAAAGUAUAACUGCAUACAAAAACCAAGAUGGACAACCCAGAUCUGGAACUCCAGAACAAUCUGACACUCCAGUGUCUGCUAAUGACAUGUGUUCCCUUGCUGAAUGGCCAUCCCAUGCUCGCCGCAACCGUGCGCUACUAGAGGAUGAAGCUGGUGGACAGAAGAAGAAAGGGCGAGGUGUUCUAAAAGGUUUUAAAGCAUCUAAGAAGCGUUUUGCCAAUGGAUCUGCAAAGCUAAAUAUUACAUUUUCUGAAAAAGGUGGUACAGUAGGAAUGAACUAUCGUUCGUUCAAGGAUGACGUGGUAGUCAUAAUGAAAAGAAAGUUACCACUCAUUGGAGUGAGGACGUGGUCGGACAUUCACCCUACCAUUCAUCGACUCAUUGUUGCAGAUAUGAUAGACAGAUGGGACUUGGAAGAUACACCAGAAACAGAAGAAAAAGUUCUCAAAAUUGCGAAAGAGCGAUAUAGAGGCUGGCGAUCAACUCUAAGCUCCACUUAUAAGGCAUACAAAACAGAUGCAGCUAGAUUUGCUAAUUUGCCGAAAGAUUUGCAACCAGAAGAGUGGGAAUGGAUGAUUGAGUACUUUGGCACUGAUUCAAAAUUUCAGGAUCGCAGCCAAAAGAACGCCGAUAACCGUAAGAAACAGAAGACAAAACACAUAAUCAGAUCAAAAUCUUACUCGCAAGUUAGUUUUGAGAAGAGAAACUUGGAAACUGGAGAAGAGCCAGAUUGUAUUGCUCUGUGGGAACUCACCCACACGAAUGAUGGAACAUGGUCUAACACAGAUUCCCAGAAAGUUUACGACAAAGCACUUCAAGAGGUUAAAAUCAAAGAAACUGAAACUGAAGGUCCACUUUCAAGUGAGGAGAAAAACAAUAUUUUCCAGACCUCUUACAAAGAGACUCUGGAAUGCAAGUCAUCGCAUCCUCAUGGGUACGGAUACAUGGCCAAAACUUCAACUGCUUCUGAAAGGUUUCGUAUCCAGAUCGAAGAGCAAGCUCGUGCUACAGCAGCCACCCAGGAGUGA
rnacentral:rRNA from 1 species